rnacentral:rRNA from 1 species
AUGGGAACGCGAAGAACCUUACCUACUCUUGACAUCCAGAGAACUUUCCAGAGAUGGAUUGGUGCCUUCGGGAACUCUGAGACAGGUGCUGCAUGGCUGUCGUCAGCUCGUGUUGUGAAAUGUUGGGUUAAAGUCCCGCAACGAGCGCAACCCGUUAUCCUUUGUUGCCAGCGGUUAGGCCGGGAACUCAAAGGAGACUGCCAGUGAUAAACUGGAGGAAGGUGGGGAUGACGUCAAGUCAUCAUGGCCCUUACGAGUAGGGCUACACACGUGCUACAAUGGCGCAUACAAAGAGAAGCGACCUCGCGAGAGCAAGCGGACCUCAUAAAGUGCGUCGUAGUCCGGAUUGGAGUCUGCAACUCGACUCCAUGAAGCCGGAAUCGCUAGUAAUCGUAGAUCAGAAUGCUACGGUGAAUACGUUCCCGGGUCUUGUACACACCG